rnacentral:rRNA from 1 species
UAGGGAAUCUUCCACAAUGGACGCAAGUCUGAUGGAGCAACGCCGCGUGAGUGAAGAAGGUUUUCGGACCGUAAAGCUCUGUUGUUGGUGAAGAAGGAUAGAGGUAGUAACUGGCCCUUUAUUUGACGGUAAUCAACCAGAAAGUCACGGCUAACUACGUGCCAGCAGCCGCGGUAAUCGUAGGUGGCAAGCGUUGUCCGGAUUUAUUGGGCGUAAAGCGAGCGCAGGCGGAAGAAUAAGUCUGAUGUGAAAGCCCUCGGCUUAACCGAGGAAUUGCAUCGGAAACUGUUUUUCUUGAGUGCAGAAGAGGANAGUAGAACUCCAUGUGUAGCGGUGGAAUGCGUAGAUAUAUGGAAGAAUACCAGUGGCGAAGGCGGCUCUCUGGUCUGCAACUGACGCUGAGGCUCGAAAGCAUGGGUAGCGGACAGGAUUAGAUACCCUGGUAGUCCAUGCCGUAAACGAUGAGUGCU